ACGUGUGAAGAAUAUUUUAAAAUUACUAUCUCAAUACCUAUUAAAAGAAACACAUAUAUAAUAUAAUAUAGUAAUGGUAUACAUUACUAUAAUAAUUUUAGAACAGAUAUUAUUACUAAAUAGUUUGUGGGUAUCUAUACCGACUUAUCCUUUGUGACUAUAUUAUAUCAAAGUAAAAUAUUAUAUAAGUAAAUAGUUUUUCUGUCUAUUUUGGAUAACAAACUGAGACAGCUGGUUAUUUUAGUUUUAUUAUGAUGAUUGAUGACAAUAGUUUUUUUCAUCUAUUGUCGAGUUUUAAUGUAGAAAAUAGAGAUUAUGCAGCAAAUUGAGUAACAAUGAGGACUGAGGGUAGUUUUUAGUAGAAAUUAUUAUUUGGUUUGUUAUAAUAAAUUCCAUAUUUUUUUUGUUAAUAAUUUGAAUAUUGGGUGUAUAGUUUUUCGUAAGUUGACGCAAAUUAAUAUCAAAAAUACAUUACAAAUUAAUAAUUUUUAUACUUUUUUUUUUUAGUACAAAUUAUCCGUAUUUUUCAUUCAAAAUUUAGUUUUUUUAAUCAAUUAUUUAACCAUUUAAAUUUAAUGAUGUCGAUAUUGCUAUGAAACAAUAAUUAAUUUCUGUGUUUAAUAUCGAUUGACUAUAGGUAUUAUUUCUUUUGACUUUUUUAACGAUUCAUUUAAGUACAGAAAAAUAUUACAUAAUUGUAAGAUUGAAUAUUAGUAUUUUUUUAAAACUUCAUACAACUAUAGCUAUAUAACAAUUAAUAGUGCAAGUCCUAAGCCAAAUUUGAUAAAUCAUGUCCAAAUAAUACAUAUUCAAUCAUAAAGGUCUUACAAGAAAUACUGGGUGAAACAUUAACAAAAACUAUAGAUACCAUUAUACCAAUAGAAAUAAGAAAAAAUAAUAACCAAAACAAUAUGAGCAUAAUUGAAAAACAAAAAUAAAUAUUACGUUAAUAUUUAAAUGCAUAAAAAUGAUUACAAUAAAUCCAAAAAUAGUUCAGAUAAUAAUAUAAAAAACUACUAAUUAAAAUUUGAAAAUUAUAUUAAAUCAAGAAAAAUUGAAUUAUUAUAAAAAGUGUGUUUUUAUUAUUUUUAAUUAUUAUACUAUUUUGACAUAUGAUAAAUUUAAUUUUGUUUAUAAUAUUAUCGUUAACAUAGAAUAAGUUUUUACAUUUUUAUAGGUCAUCAUAUUUUAUUGGUCGAUUAUAUUGCUAAAAAAUGCAUUGUAAUUGAUUAGGCUGUAGCCAGUUCCCAGUUUUUAAUAGUUUUUAUAGUUUAUUUUUUUGAUUAUGACAGAUGGUUUAUACGAAUAUGUAAACUGAAGUUGAUGGGAAAUGAGGAGUUUUUAAAUCAAAUAUUUUAAUAUUUAAUAAUUUUACUAAGAAAAAUUCUACAUAGAUAUAACAAUAUCCAUGCAAGUAAAUGUUAUUAUUUAAGAAUCGUUUAUUUGUUUCAAGGACGUUUUUCGUAGAUUCACUUGGAGAAUUCUUCGAUCAACGUAUUUUUGUUUAUUUUGAAACAACCAAGCGUCGUGCAAAAAUUCGAUGAUGUAACUACGUGGGAGCUUAUCUGAGCGGUGCUUUCCACUUUGCACAGUGCAAACGGCCACUUGACCACAGGAAGUCGAAAAACUGGUCCGGAUCGUCUGCAUUGUAUCCCGUAUGUCACCACGGUUCAGAGAAAGUGGUUUCCCGGUUAAAUCCAGUCUGUGCAUACUUAUGAUCGCGAUGUUUAGCUAUAAUGCUAUAUAGAUUGCAGUCUGGUUUCUUUGGCGUGCGAUAAUUUCACCCGGCAGACGACCGACGAGAAUACAAUUUUCGUAUACUAAUAUACACGAGCAAGAAUGUAUAUUUUCGUUGACAUUUAAACAAAAUAAUGUUUAUUAAUGGUAGAUUCGAAAGUACCUAUAUUAUGUGUACAGUAGAACAAUGAGUGAAGACAAUAUGUUUUAUGGAAUGCAGACGUCUUCCAGUGGAUGAACUUCUAACAUUUAAUUGUCUACUUCUGAACCUACUCACACCGUUCUAAGGAAAAUCGGUAUUGACUUAAAAAUAAAAGAAAUGUUAAUGACAAGUCAGGCCAUAGAUAAUUGAAGAAACGCAAUGGUCUCUAAAAACUGAUCGAUGAAAGCGAAAUCUGCCUUCUAAAUUCAUCAGGUAUAAUAAACGAGAGGACCAACACACAUUGCUUGCUCACAAGAUGGACAGACCUGAACAAAUAAUAUUGUUUGAAGAAUAGUGAUAAAAAAACCAACCGUUUCCACAGCGAAUACGAUUUGAAACACUUUUUAGAACAACUUGAGUCAAUUCAUCACACACGUACAUUAUUAUUAUUUUUAAUAAAAGUAUUGUCUAUUUCAGUGAAGAAAUUUUUAUUUAGGAAGUCCUUAUUUAUCAUCAUUUUUAUUAAUAUUUUACAUUGUUCUUCAGAAACCUCACAAUCUAUAAUCGAUAGUAUUGAUAAAUUCGCAAUUCUAUCACGUUUAUUAUUUUCAUAUUUUAGGUAUUCUUUAAUUGUUAAAACAUAAGCAUGUUUCUUCAAAAAUAAAUUAUCAAUUUUAGAAUUCGUUCCACAAAAUUUCUUUUUAUGUGGUAUAAUUUUUUUUUUAUUGGGUAUGCCAUUAAAAAAUAUUCUAUAACACUUUAUAAUUUCAUAGAUUACUUAUUUUGAUAUUUUAUUGAUAUCGAUUUAUUUUACUUAUAUCUGAGUAGAAUUAAGUGAAAUUAAAAA